CCUACGGGAGGCAGCAGUGAGGAAUAUUGGUCAAUGGACGAGAGUCUGAACCAGCCAAGUAGCGUGAAGGAUGACUGCCCUAUGGGUUGUAAACUUCUUUUAUAUGGGAAUAAAAUGUUCCACGUGUGGGAUUUGUAUGUACCAUAUGAAUAAGGAUCGGCUGGGUGCGUGCCAGCAGCGGGGGUAAUACGGAGGAGCGGAGCGUUAUCCGGAUUUAUUGGGUUUAAAGGGAGCGUAGGUGGAUUGUUAAGUCAGUUGUGAAAGUUUGCGGCUCAACCGUAAAAUUGCAGUUGAAACUGGCAGUCUUGAGUACAGUAGAGGUGGGCGGAAUUCGUGGUGUAGCGGUGAAAUGCUUAGAUAUCACGAAGAACUCCGAUUGCGAAGGCAGCUCACUGGACUGCAACUGACACUGAGGCUCGAAAGUGUGGGUAUCAAACAGGAUUAGAUACCCUUGUAGUC
rnacentral:rRNA from 1 species